rnacentral:rRNA from 1 species
AUGAUAGUCUCAUAUGGAUCCCUAGCUCCAAAAAGAUACAUGUACUCAGAGGUAAUGAAGAUAACGUCUUCUCGCAACAAUCAGCUUGGUAAAGGUGGUUAUGGUGUGGUUUUCAAAGGAAAACUACAUGAUGGUCGUCUGGUUGCAGUGAAAUUCUUGCAUGACUACAAAGGAAAUGGAGAUAAGUUUGUGAAUGAGGUUAUGAGCAUUGGCAGGACCUCUCAUGUUAAUGUUGUUAGCUUAGUUGGGUUUUGUUUGAAGGGAUCAAAACGAGUUCUUAUAUAUGAGUACAUGCCCAACGGUUCCUUGGAUAAGUACAUUUACUCAGAGAACCCCAAAGAAAUUUUAGGAUGGGAGAGGCUCUAUGCGAUAGCAAUCGAGAUUGCUCGUGGCCUCGAAUACUUGCACCAUAGCUGUAAUACACGUAUCGUCCAUUUCGAUAUCAAGCCCCAAAAUAUCCUUCUAGACAAGGAUUUCAGCCCAAAGAUUGCUGAUUUUGGUCUGGCUAAGUUGUGUCAUACAAAGGAGAGCAAGCUUUCAAUGACUGGAGCUAGAGGAACAAUUGGAUUCAUCGCCCCAGAAGUUCACUCCCGAACCUUUGGAGUGGUUUCAACAAAGUCAGACGUUUAUAAUUAUGGAAUGAUGCUGCUGGAGAUGGUUGGAGGGAGGAGAAAUGUUAGAUCAAUUGUUGCAAAAUCCAGUGAAAAGUAUUUCCCUGAUUGGAUUUAUGACCACUUUGCGCAAGAUGAUGGAUUACAAGCAUGUGAAGUCACAAAUGAAAUUGAGGAGAUUGCAAGAAAGAUGAUCUUAAUUGGCUUGUGGUGUAUACAAGUACUACCUGUGCAUCGCCCAAAUAUAACAAAAGUUCUAGAAAUGUUUGAGAGAAGCUUAGAUGAUCUGGACAUGCCGCAGAAGCAAAACUUCUGUGAACUACUUGAAAGUUCAGCUCACAAUAUGGAUGUACAAAGUUCAAGUUCUACCAGACCUGAGGAGAUCAACCUUGCGAAUUGA